rnacentral:tRNA from 3 species
GCUUAGCUCAGUUGGUUAGAGCACCUGCCUUACAAGCAGGGGGUCAUAGGUUCGAGUCCUAUAGCGC